UACGUAGGGUGCGAGCGUUGUCCGGAAUUAUUGGGCGUAAAGAGCUCGUAGGCGGUGUGUCGCGUCGGCCGUGAAAACCUGCAGCUUAACUGUGGGCUUGCGGUCGAUACGGGCAUCACUGGAGUUCGGCAGGGGAGACUGGAAUUCCUGGUGUAGCGGUGAAAUGCGCAGAUAUCAGGAGGAACACCGGUGGCGAAGGCGGGUCUCUGGGCCGAUACUGACGCUGAGGAGCGAAGGCCAGGGGAGCAAACGGG
rnacentral:rRNA from 1 species